rnacentral:rRNA from 1 species
AUUGAACGCUGGCGGCAGGCCUAACACAUGCAAGUCGAGCGAGCGGCGGACGGGUGAGUAAUGUAUGGGAAACUGCCCGAUGGAGGGGGAUAACUACUGGAAACGGUAGCUAAUACCGCAUACUAUCAGAUGUGCCCAGAUGGGAUUAGCUAGUAGGUGGCGUAAUGGCCCACCUAGGCGACGAACCCUAGCUGGUCUGAGAGGAUGACCAUCCACACUGGCACUGAGACAAGUUCCAGAUUCCUACGGGAGGCAGCAGUGGGGAAUAUUGCACAAUGGGCGCAAGCCUGAUGCAGCACUGCCGCGUGUGUGAAGAAGGCCUUCGGGUUGUAAAGCACUUUCAGCGAGGAGGCGUUACUCGCAGAAGAAGCACCGGCUAACUCCGUGCCAGCAGACGCGGUAAUAC